GCCCUUGUGGUCUGAUCGGUAAGGCAUCGGCCCCAAACGCCGUAUCAUGCGGGUUCGAGUCCCGCCGAGGGCU